CUCCAUUCUCUCUCUCUCUCUUCACACGCACACACACACUUCACUUAGUGGAACCAAACUCUUCACUUUCAUGACAGAUUCAACUAAAUACAUACCCAUAAACGGCAGAACUUUGAAUUCCUCCGUUUCCGAAUCUCAUCCCCUGUAUCUUGACCCACCAAAUGUGGUUCAAGAUUCCCUAAUUGGUCGAACCAGAGUUCAAUUGGGUCAAACCGAACUACAAUCGGGUCUCCACUGUCUCUGAUUGGGUUGAACCAGAGUGCAAUUUGGUCUCCAAUGACUGAAAUUGGGUCGAAACGAGACUGGGAUUGGGGCUCCAUCGUCUCAAUUUGGGUCGAAUCAGCUGAAUAAAGAAGUACCCAAGUUAGAAACAAAGUCUAAUAAUAAGGUGAAACCGCGUGAAGAAUUGAAUAAACCGGUGCCGACAUCUUUGGUGAAUAAUACUGGAAGUGGGUCUACUCAAAGAGUAGAAGAAAGCAAAGGGGAUAAUGUGGAAAAGAAACCAAUGCCGCAUGAUAUAGAUCUGAAGCUGAAGCAAAAAAUUGUGAUAAGAGUUUGUUGCAUAUGUUGAAAUACAAAGAAAAAAGAAGAAGGAUAAUUGAUUGAGAAAAAAGACUAUUAGUGACGGAAGCUUUGUUGUUAAGGAGGGAGUGAGGGUUUUGGCUGUGAGAAUAUUAUGAAAUCAAAAACUUGCAGACUAUGGUUCCGUGUAAAGUUCGGGGGAACAUACAAGAAUUCUCGAGUGCAUCCACACCCCCUUUCAUUCGUUCAAGGGAUUGCAAGCGAUGGUGAAUGUCACAAGUGUGGUUACAUGCUCCAAUACAACAUGAUCUUUAAAUGUUCUUGUAUGUUUGUAGUUCAUAAAAGUUGUUGUGAAAGUCUGAGUGCUGACUUUAAAUCAUUGAAGAAGAAUGAAUGUGUAAGUGUAAGGGCUGAGAGGGAAAUUACCAUUUUAUCCUCAUGUGCAUUGCACAUGACGGUUUUUAA